GACCUGUUAGCACAGUUGGUAAUGCGCCCGCUAAAAUUUGCCCAGGGCGAAAAUGAGCUUCUGCGAGAGUCCCCAGUUCAACUCUGGGACAGGUCA